UUGAUCAAUGGCGAUUAUUACGUAAUAAUUAUCUAAUAAUAUAGAUAGAUAGAUACUGAUGAUUAUUUGGGUAAAUUUUCCUAAUAUUUUUGAGUUCAGAUUAGUUAAAUACAAGAAGCUUUCUAAUUGACAGCUGCAUAUAUAAAUGAUACAUUACGGAAAUUUUUCCUCGGAUUGGGUUCCCCUACGUACGGUAGAAGAUCUCUUCAUUCCAAGUACACUCAUAUAUAAUCUUGACACUUGUCCUUCUAACUAUCUAAUGGAUCUGAUUUAUUCAAAUAACCCAAAAAAAGAAAAAGAAAAUCUAACCAUUGUGACCAGAUGCAGCAUAGGAUACAUAUUAUAUUACUUAAUAUGUACCUAGAAGCGUAAUACUGGUCAGCAUAGUACAUUAUUACAUUUGUAAAUGAAAUUUCACAAGUAUUAAUCUCUUAAAUAGGAAAUAAAUCAUGCAUUUUCUAGCUAGUUGUCCUGAGGAUUGAUCUUUUUUUUGCCAUUCUUGCAAGAAGAGGAGACAAUUUUACCCAUCUUUACAACAGCCAUGGCCUUCACCGACUUUUGCUCUUUGGGAAAAACACUUCCACUCUUGGGUUUGUGUGGAAAUACUCCGUUAUUAGUUUUCUCAACCAUCACUUCUUUUGCUUUUCCUUUAUCAGCCAUCUUCAGUCACUCUUUCACUCUUUAAUUAUGUGAAUGAUUGUGAGAAGAAGAGCUAGCUUGCUUGCUUGCUUUGUGAUUAUUUGGAGAAGAUUUUAU
rnacentral:lncRNA from 1 species